rnacentral:rRNA from 1 species
AUUGAACGCUGGCGGCAUGCCUUACACAUGCAAGUCGAACGGUAACAGGUUAAGCUGACGAGUGGCGAACGGGUGAGUAAUGUAUCGGAACGUGCCCAGUCGUGGGGGAUAACUACUCGAAAGAGUGGCUAAUACCGCAUACGACCUGAGGGUGAAAGCGGGGGACCGUAAGGCCUCGCGCGAUUGGAGCGGCCGAUAUCAGAUUAGCUAGUUGGUGGGGUAAAAGCCCACCAAGGCGACGAUCUGUAGCUGGUCUGGGAGGACGACCAGCCACACUGGGACUGAGACACGGCCCAGACUCCUACGGGAGGCAGCAGUGGGGAAUUUUGGACAAUGGACGCAAGUCUGAUCCAGCCAUGCCGCGUGCGGGAAGAAGGCCUUCGGGUUGUAAACCGCUUUUGUCAGGGAAGAAACGAGUUUCUCUAAUACAGAGACUUAAUGACGGUACCUGAAGAAUAAGCACCGGCUAACUACGUGCCAGCCGCCGCAGUAACAC